CAAAAACAUGUCCUCUUGAUUUAUAUAGGAGGUUUGACCNGCCCGGUGAUUAAUUUUACCCGGCCGCGGUAUUCUGACCGNGCAAAGGUAGCAUAAUCAUUAGUCUUUUAAAAGGAGGCUGGAAUGAAAGGUUUGACGAAGAAUUAACUGUCUCAGAUUUAUUUGAUUUUAAAAUUUAACUUUUUAGUCAAAAGGCUAAAAUUUAAUUGGUAGACGAGAAGACCCUAUAGAGCUUUAUAAGUAUUUUUGUAAUAUUAAUAUAUGAACUUUUAUUAUAAUAAUAUUUAUUUUGUUGGGGUGACAAAAAUAAUAAUUAACUUUUUUAUUUUUUAUACAUUGAUUUAUGAAUAGUAGAUCCAUUAAUAUUGAUUGAUAGACUAAGUUACCUUAGGGAUAACAGCGUAAUCCUCUUCCAGAGUUCAUAUUUACGGGAGGGCUUGCGACCUCGAUGUUGGAUUAAGAUAAUAUUUAGGUGUAGCCGCUUAAUAAAUAGGUCUGUUCGACCUUUAAAUUCUUACAUGAUCUGAG
rnacentral:rRNA from 1 species